GGUCACAGUACUGAUGUGUAGGGACCUUUCCCAGGGCCCGGAGCUGUGUGCUGCACUGGCAGGGAUGGAUCGUCACAGCUGCGCGGUGCCCGGCAAGCUCAGGGAGGGCAGAGGAGGGACAGAACGUCCCCCCAGUGCAAAUGACAUGGAGCAGGCAGACCGAGUGCCCCCUCCAGGCGUGCCGGUGGUCAUCCCAGAGACUGUUUUGUGCAGAGAGCGGGCUGCUCUGCUCAGGGACCUGGCCAGGCCUGGUGAGGCUUCUGCGGAAGGAAUGAGCGGAUGAGCGGACAGUUCUCCAGGGCAGGACCUGGGGAGGGCCCGGAUUUGUGGGUAAGACAAACACAGGGCUGCACCCAAGUCCUGAGUGCAGGCAGCAUCCUCCUGCUCAUCACACUUGGAGUCUGCAGAGCCCCUGGCGUCCUGUGAGGGCCCAGGUUUGGGCACUGCCCCGGGGCGUGUGAGGCCACAGGGCCGUCCUUUUCCCUGUCUCUAUCUGUGUCUUCUCCUGCGCCAUGAUCACCAUCCUGGCUGGCAUUCUGCUCGGGGACAGCCAGGCUGGGGCUUUGCAGGAAAUUAAGUGACCCGCCACUGUCCCCAAGGGCCACUCCCAGGCGGAGAGGGCCUGGCUGCUGGCUCUGAGUCCUGUUUUCAGGCCCUGGCUGAUGGCUUGGUCUCCUAGGACCGUAAUGAAACAAUGUUGCUGGGACACGGUGCUUGUCGCCUGAGAGUGUCUAAGUGCUUUCCGACAAUUAAUCGGCUGGGCACUCAGCGCUGAGCGCCACAGCCCAGGGGGCCACAGGGCGGGAGGGAGGUGGCCUGGGGACAGCACUGCUCUCAGCCCUCUCCGCUGCUCUUCCAGACCGCAGGCCAGGCUGGCGGGAGGGGGAGGAGCCCGAGCUGUGCAGAGGACAGAGGACGGGAAGAAGCCAGGGCCAGAGGGAGGGGUUUGUACGGGGUCCUUGGGUCUCCUGUGAGGGAGAUGCUGGACCCUUUGUCUCUCCUUGCCAGCCUCAGUUUCCCCAUCUCGACACAGGAAGUACACAGGACCCUUAGGCUGUGGAGACAGCGUGACGAAGCCGAGGCCUCGCUGCCCCCACAGUGGAAUACGGCCCUGUGCAGUAAGCGUGCAGUGCACGUAGGAGGUGCCUUGUCUGCCACUAAGCCAGCUGCUGGGACAAGGGUGCUGUGCUUCCUGGCCCCGAGGACUCCACGCCCUGGGAAGCGGCAGCCCUCCACCCUCUCGCUCUGCAUCCUGCUGUCUGUCCACUCCGUGGCAAUCCAUAGUGGUGGAACCCUCAACUGUGGGGCCCCGACUCAGGGCCGUGGGCAAGGGGGCGCCCAGAGGGCACUGUGACCCCCACCUUCUACCUGCUUGCUUCCCACAGUGGGGUGCUCAUGCCUUCUCAGCUGUUACUGCAUUUCACCACUCAGCUCUGCACCUGACAGCCGUACACCAGACACCCAGGUGUCUGGACACCCAGGUCAGGGGUCAUUAAUGGACCUGGAACCACGCUGCCACACGCCGGGCACGGGGAGGAGGAGCGGAUGCCUCCAGGGGCUUCUGACCAGCAUCAGUCCCUCUGUCUCCCCAGGACCAUCAGCCCUCAUUCCACCCAUGCCAGCAGGUUCGAGGUGCCGUGGUGUCUCCUGUUCUGUAGAGGGUGGGACUGAGGAACACAGGAGACAGCUGACUUCUCCCUGGGCUACGUCUCCAGGCCUUCUUAAUUUUCUUUUUUAAGCUUUGAGACAAUAUCCUGCUGAGCUGCUAUGUUGUCCAGCCAGGGCAUGGACUUCUGAUGCCCUUGCCUCAGCCCCUCCGGGACACACAUGCACCCCACUUGUGGCUCCUGGAAGCGUUCGUUAGGAACGCAUCUUCGAAGGCCUAAUGAAUUGCUGUGUGGCACGGCCUAGUAGGCACUGCCGGCUUGGGCGUGUGUGCUGAGGGCUGCAUUUGAUGAGUGUGUGAGAUGCCUGUGGGCGACGCUUCCGGUGUUAGCAGCAGUGUGAUGCAUCUUGGUGAGCUGGGCUUUCUGGCUUUUCGUAUAUGUACCUUCUACGUUAGCUUUGCCCGAUUUCAUAUACAUUUAAACCAUGGCCCUGCUGGUACCUGUGCCUAGGGUGCUGGGUAUGGGGCAGGGCUGGCCAUGGCCCAGGCUCGGUCAGCAAAGGAUAGAAGAGGGGGCACAGGGACCAACAUCACAGAUGGAUGGAACAGCCCUGGCGGAGCCCUGAGGACGGGGGACCUCAGGCUGGCUCUGCCCUAUAGGAGGACCCUGAGGGGCACAGGGGCUGCUUCAGGAGUGGCUUAGCUGCCCAGAUUUAGAUCUUGUUGCCUGAAGAUCGUUCCCUAAGAGGGGCUGACGCAGUUAGCAAGCCCUGACUCUUCCUUCCUGUGUGAGCGGGGCCAGUGGUGCCCGCCCUGUCCCAUGUGGGCAGGAGUGAGACCAACGUGCUUCCGAGCCUAUCUGUGCGCUGGGACACAGGGCCAGGCUGGUGUCCAGCAGUGACACUCGGGAAGGGGCACCGCGCUCAGGCUGUGCCAGCCCUUGGGGCCAUGGCACCCGCCUGCUGCCCACUGUCCCCAGGUAGCUUAUGGGAAAGAAUGGAGAACCCAGGGAGCCUUUGCCAGCAGCGCCUCCAGCAGCCUGGGCUGCAGGGAGCCAGGGUCAUGCUCCCGGGCCACACCAGGUUCGCCUGCUUCCUGCCGCUGCCAGAUGCGGCCCCUGGACCUCUGGGGCUCUGAGCUGCCUCUUCUUGCUUUGCAAGGAUCCAGGAGGGAUGGUACUGGGGACGGUCACUCACAGGACAGCUGCCCCCACUGCCCAUGACCUCCCAGUGCCAGGCCCUCCAUCACCUGGAAGUCCCCUCUAGGCCAGGUUCCCAAGUGUCACCCCAUUGAGUACAGCUGUGGGGACAGACAGCCCACCUGGCCAUGUCCCCAGGAGUCAGGGUUAGAGUUAAGUGGCCUUGGGGUGCAGCGAGUUUCAGCAAGCACAGAGUGAGAAACACAAACCUUCUUGGCAGGCCCUGUGUCACCAGGAUGGGCCAUCAGCAGCCAUCGGAGGCACUUGGCAGCCUGAGCUGGUGCUGCAGGGUACCGGGAUGUCUCUGACCCCCAGUUCUUCUACACACUGCCCCCCAAGGGCAUGGAGGUCUGGUGCGGCUUCCAGGAACCCCGAGGGAGAACAUACACACUUCUCUCUGUGUACAAAGGAAAAUAGACCUCUUUUCAAAUAUCCACUCAGCGCUCACUGCAUCUGUAAAAAAGCCCUGAGCUCCUUUCCCUGAUGCUUAACAAGGAACUGGAAUUUGUGGCGCUGGAGGAGAAGCCAGAAGGGGGUCCCAGGUAUUCUCUCCCAGGGCUGCCUGGAACUUUCUUGCUGGCUGCACAGUGGGAAGUGGAGUCUGUGAUCAGCGUGCGUUUUCACAACAGCACGGCCGCCAGCCUUGGUUCCCACUAGCCCCACUCUUACUUUGUCUGUUGUGAACGCUUACUUUGGGAGUUUUCUUUACAGUUGUGCAGAUCGGUUCUGGACAGGACCCUGGUCCUAGCAGCUGGAGCUUCUGCACUGAGCACGAGGCCUGGUGCCUCCUUUCUUCUCCCCAUCCCAGCAUGUGCUCCUGGCAUUACGUGACCUGUGACCUCAUCCUUUUUCCCCUGGGCUCAUUCCGAAGCCACGUUGUGGGCAGUGGGAGUCCUCCGCAGAGCCUCUGCCUGCCACACGGCAUGGAGUGGGAUCUCAGGAUGGCCUCGUGACCUGUCACAGCAGCCCUCUGCCCAGUCCUCUGCCCAGCGCUCUCCUCCCUGCAUUUGUCCACGUUCACCACUAGGAAUUCCAGCCUGUGCUCACUAAGUAGUUCUCACUGAUACCGCCACAACAUGACGUGGCUGGCUUAAUUCAUCCUCUGGGUUCUGCUCUAGGGCUGAGCCUGUUCUGUGGUCAACCUGGCCCAGCGUAGGCCCGAGACUGCUCUCAGAGAGUCCCAUGCUUCUCAUGGCAAGCGAUUCGCUAAGGCCUGGCACCCCAAGAUCCACAGACUCACCCCGUCUACCUUCCCCUGUGCUCCCCUGGCCGCUUGCUUUCCUCUGUCACAAAUGGGGAGGUAGCCUUUCUCUAACCCACGAGAGCCUUAAAGAGUAAACAUAUCCACCAGGGGUCCAGUGCUUGGCCAGAAAUGUGGCUUGAAAAUGUGUCCCCUCGGUCCAUCACUUGUCUUUCUGUUCCCUUAAAUGGUGACACAGUUUGGAUGGAGACUUUCUCCAGGGGCCCUGGGUCAAAGGUGGGGCUGAUCGAGGGCGGGGCCUGGAAUGGCCCCUCCCCCUUGCUGGCGCCCCACUCCCCCUCCUGUCUCCCAUGGCCCGAAACGGCUCUCCUCUGCCAGGACCCCUCCGUGCCCUGUCUGUGCGUGGCCAGCUGAAAUUUCUGGAAACGUGAGCCAAAAUAAACCUCUCUUCCUCUAAGCCGUGGGUGUUGGGUAUUUUGUCCCAGGAAAAAGAAAGUGGCGGAGGCCAUGGGUCAGUCUGUCUGCGGAUCGGCAGAGCAGAAAGUCUGCACUUGGACACAGCCGGGCUGUCCACUUGGUGGUGGGCUGUGCCACUGGUGUCCUCUCUGGACGUGCUGCUGGCUCCACACCACACGGAUUCUGCAUCUCGGUUUUCUUUUAGGGCUUGUGAAUAUUUCAUGGAGUUUUCGCUUUGAGUUUUUUGUUGUAAAGGGCGAGGUAUUAUUGGCUGAGGGCUGAUGAGUUCAUGACUGAGUGGAACACAUGCAGCUUGUGGAAGAGAUUAUGAUUUCUCUGCUAACCAGCUUUUCUGCUCUGUCAAAAGCCAUGGACUACCUUGCUGGCAGCAUCUGGUCCGGUGGCCUGUGUUGGUCCCCAUGGUCAUAAUUCAGGGCAACUUUCAGCAAGCCUGGAACUCAGGGAGUGCGAAUCUCCAAGGUCAUCAUGCUUUUCCAGGUUUCUAGUGGCUACGGUGGUUAAUUUUCCUUUCUACUAAAUGCUUGUGAGAUUGCAUUAAAUCUGCAAGGGAGUCAACAAGUAAGAGAUGAAGGUUUAAAUUUAAAAAUUGAUUACAGUAAAAACAUGUUUCCGUGAACUCCCUCCAAGUCCCCCCCCUGCAAAUGCGCUCCUCUGUCACUCCGUACCUCCGGGGUGGCUCUGCAGGUCUUCCUGAGAGUCCUGGGGAAGAGCAACCAAAAUGUGGUGAGUGUGGCUGCCCACUGCCGUCCAGUCAAGGGUGGCUCCAGAAAACCUGACCCUGCCUCUUCACCGUAUCACUGGAGCUAGCACCAGGCAACGCCCGGCUCUUCCCAGCUGAGAGAAGGGAGCGCCCUGAACCCGUGCAGGACUCCGAGGCAGCCAGGGCAGUGCAGCUGAGGACCUUAGGAGGGCCCCGGAGCGGAGCUGCUGCGGGAACCGUGAGGACAGCAGGACGAGCGUGUGCUCGUGGUGGAGCAGCGUCUGCGUGGAGCUCAGCCCUUGAGGGGUUUGCUCUGAGUUCUUUCAGGGGUUUUGCUGGCAGGUGUCUUGGCAUAUGUUACAAUUGACACCUAAGCAGUUCCUUGUUUGGUGUUGUGUUUGUUUUUUAAUUUUAAGACCCCAGUUCCUCCUUGCUAGAUGUUUGUAGAAAUGCAACUGAUUUUUGUUUUAUUAUGUAUUUUAUGACUUGUUACAUUUCCCUGCGAGCUCAAGGGCACUUGCAUAGAUUCUCCGGGAUUCUUCUGCAUAGACAGGAAUGUCACUGUCACCAGCAAACAGAGUCUCACUUCUUAUCCGGCUCUCUCGGUUUCUUUUCCUUUUCUUGCUGAAUGUGUGGCAGGACAGGGGUGGGUGGUGGCCUCGCCUCGCUCCUGAUCUGGGGGUCAGAUGCUUACCGAGUGCUCCUUGUCAGCUUCAGAAGUUCCCUGUGACUUUUUUUUCCCAGAACUUAAAAAAAAUCAUAAAUAUGUUUAGAAUUUUGCCAGAUGCUUCUGUUUUUGUAUUUGCAGAGAUAAUCACUUUGUUUUUCUUUCUUUAGUUUCUUUUUGAGGGGGUGUCGGGAUUGAACUCAGGACCUUGUGCUUGCCAGGCAGGGGCUGUGCCACUGAGCUACACCCUGAUCUUUUUUCCUUAUUUUUUAUUGUUUAUUGGUGCAGCUUAGACAUACACAAUGAGUGUCACAUUCACCGCAGGGCAUGUGUACCUCUGCGCCAUCCAUCUGAUUCCCGCCCCUCCCGCCCUUCAGCCUCGCCUUCUCUCCUGUUUGCAAGCUUUGUCUCCAUUUUGUCCUUAUUUCCCCUUCUGUCGCUUUUCCUUCCUCUCUCCCUUCUCCCCUCUAGUUUCCCUUUCCAACAAUUUUGUCCUUUUUCAUAAGAUCUAUAUACGUUUUGGCCCUUAUGUAUACUCUUAGUUUCUUACAUCAGAGAGACAAUGUGAUAUUUAUAUACAAGUGUCAAAAUUUAUUUCACUUGUGAGUGUGGCGUCAAGGUGCUUUCAUUUACCUCGAAAUGUCUCAAGUUUAUCCUUCUUUAUUGCCAAGUCGUACUCCAAUUGUAUUUUUUUAAAAACCCACAUCUUUUUUAUCUGCUCAUCGGUUACUGGGCAUCUGGGUUGUUUCCAAGAUUUAGCUGUUACAAAUUGUGCUGCUAUAAACAUGGGUACACAUAUAUCGCUGUCAUAUGAUGUUUUUUAUUCUUUUGGGAAGGUACCCAGAAGGGGGAUAGCUGGGUUUAAUGUGACCUCUAGUCUUAGUUUUUUUGAGGAAUCUCCACACUGAUUUCCAUGUAAACAUGUAAAAACAUGAACACUAAAUCUGGUGGAAGAGAGAAUAGGUAGAAGUUUUGAAGGCAUGGAUAUAGGCGAAAACUUCAUGAGCAAAAGCCAAUCACACAGGAACUACUACAAAGAAUCCACAACUGAAAUCUCCGUUUAUGAAAAAGCUUUUGUACAGCAACAGAGUGAAGAGACAACCCACAGAGUGGAAAAGAUCUUGACCAGUUGUUGCUCAGACAAGAGACCAACAUCUAGGACGUAGAGGAACUGAAAAAAGUCGGCUCCCCAAAUUUAAAGGUCAGAUCGGAAAAUGGACAUCCGAAACGGACACUUCCCAGACGCAGGAGUACAGCUUCUUGGGUUCUAACAGCAAAUGAAUACAUGAGAAAAUGCUCGCCAUCACUGGUCACUCGAGAGCUGCAAAUUAAAUCAGCCGAGAUUCCGCCCCACCCAGAAAUGAAUGCAGGGGGCUGUGGGGAAAAGGAACUUCGCUUUGCUUCCUGUAGACUGUUAAUGCGAUGCGUUACACCGACUGGCUAAGACUGUAGCCUGCUGUGUGUGGUCCUGCUCUAACACGGCUGGGCUCGGCUCCUUCCAGAGUUCGAACACUCCACACACCCGCAUCACAUGGACUCCACACACCCGCAUCACACGGGCUCCACACACCCGCAUCACACGGGCUCCACACACCCGCAUCACACGGGCUCCACACACCCGCAUCACGUGGACUCCACACACCCGCAUCACACGGGCUCCACACACCCGCAUCACACGGACUCCACACACCCGCAUCACACGGACUCCACACACCCGCAUCACGCGGGCUCCACACACCCGCAUCACGUGGGCUCCACACACCCGCAUCACACGGGCUCCACACACCCGCAUACAUACGACGGCUCUGGCCAAACUUUGUUACUGCAGGUGCCGGGAAGUCUGGCUGUCUUCCAUGCCUUCCGCUGGCCGAUUUCGGGCGCCACUGCCCGCUGGAGGCUGAGGUUCUGUGAGGUCUGCCAAGCUUGGUUCUGUGCUCGGGGAUCUUUGCUGCCUCUGGUGGGAUGUUCUCGUGGGCGUGGGGAGUGACUGCUCUGUUCACUGUUCUGGUCAUUGCUGGGGAGGAGUGGCCACCCAGCUCCAGUCCUAGGACAGGAUUUUUCUGUAGUUCUCUCAGUUUUUGGCUCAUUACUGUGUGGCUGGUAUCACGUUUUGGGCUGUGAGUUCUCACCGAACCGACUCCUUGUCGUGAGGCCAUGUCCCUCUCUGUCUCGGAUGGAAUUCCUUUUUCUAGAGUUUCACCUGUUACUAAUACAGUAACUCUAGCUUUUAUUUUCUUAUGUUUGCAUGGUUUAUUUUAUUUUUCAUUUUGGGCAGCUUGUAAACAAUGCAUGAUGACAUAAAUGUCACUAUAUGUAAAACACAUUUUCUACAGGUCACAUGCUAUAAAGUCUUGAUUUAAAAACCAUCAAAUCUGAUAACUCUGCGAGUGUGGUGGCCCAUGCCUGUGAUCCCAGGACUCGGGAGGCUGAGGCAGGAGGGUCACUGUGAAUCUGAGGUCAGCCUGAAUUAUAGAGUGUCUCAAAAAGAGCAAAGGCAAUAAAAAGAACCCUGACAACCUCCCCUCUA